GAUGAAGAACGCAGCGAGAUGCGAUAAGUAAUGCGAAUUGCAGAAUUCCGUGAGUCAUCGAAUCUUUGAACGCACAUUGCGCCCUUUGGCAUUCCGAAGGGCAUGCCUGUUCGAGCGUCAUUUAUCAACCCUCAAGCCCGGCUUGCGGUUGGGUCCCGCCGUGGGCGACCACGGCGGACCUGAAAGGUAAUGGCGGUGCCCGUGGGGCCCUGGACGCAGCGAGCUUCUCGGCACGCGUCCCGGCGGUCCCCGGCGGCGUCUCCACCAACCCACCACGCAGAUUGACCUCGGAUCAGGUAGGGAUACCCGCUGAACUUAAGCAUAUCAAUAAGCGGAGGA
rnacentral:misc_RNA from 1 species